AAAUAAACAAAAUGUUUAGUUUUGCUGAACUACGGUCACAUUCUAUUUCAUAACAUCUCUGCACUUUCAGUACAUUGGUAGUUUCUCUGCGUCUGACUGCACUCCUGAGGACCUCCUUGUCUAUUCAUUUAGCAUGUCCAAAAUAUUGAAUGUGUUUGAAAAGCUUCCAGCAACAUUAGAGCUAUAUCUCUUCUUAGUUAGAGGUAUCACAUUGCUCAAGACUUCCUGUGUCGGAAGUCAUAUGGUGAAGAGCACUAUAUCACCUUAAAUAGCCCUCAGACUCUGGUUUCAGUCUGCUGUUCUAAAGGAGACAAGCCAUGUGAUGUGUUGCCAUGGACGCUGGGUGCCCUGGCGACGCUAGGAAAUAUAUUGUUACAUAGUCUCUGUCCUGUAUUCCAUUGACCACAGAGCCUUGUGGUUAUAAGGUUUGGAGAGGCAGGUACGGCUUUACACUUUCUACAAUAUGUAGUCACAGAAUGUUUGCAUAUUAAACUGUUCUGUGCAUAUACAAUAUAAAUGAAAAGUAGCAUAAUAUAGGUUUGUCUUAGGCCUUUGUCAUAUAAUGUUGCCUUUUCAAAUGAAUAAUGUUUUAUACAUACAGGUAGACUUAACAGAAGUCAUUUGUAGGAAUGAUUGACAACAUUUCUACCUUUCUAGUGUAAACUGUCAGGAUCCUCCUUUUUGAGUGUCAGUAUUGAAAUGAACAAUGGCUCACUUCAGUAGAGUUCUGGAACUUUCCCAACCCAAAGACUCUAAAACAAUUUGGAUCACCAUUCCAUGGUAUGUUCCUUUAAAUAUGCUUACACUACGGAUUUCUUUAAAUACCGGUGUGCAUAUAUUCAUUUGUGUAGAGGAUUCCAUGGCCUUUUAAAUCACCUAAUUUUGACUUUGUGUAAGUAAUCUUGUGUGAAUUUGUCCCAAGUGAGCAAGCCAUUUUAUUAUUUUAACAGGUAUGUGAGAUGGGGCAACCAAGAGCCAAUAUGGCCAAUCUCCUUUACUGCUCUGAAUGCAGCGCCUACAGCGAGACUCUCAGCACUGGCACAGCCCAAGAAAGACUUCUCGGGAUUAAACAGAUGCCAUCGGACCAGGUAUCCUCACACAACCUGGUGUGAGCACAGCUGUCCGAUCUGGCACCUCGACCCCAAAGUCAAGACUGCUUACGUCUCACCACGCCUUAGACAGCUGGCCAGUCCCAAAACCAACCAUCCUAGCUUCCAGAGCAACAAGGUGAGACAACCUCCCUGUGACCGGAGCUCUAUUUAUGACCUGGAAGUGCAAACCAUGCAAACAGCAACGAUAACAAUGAGGAUGUGACUUCCUUAAACAGAGUCUUUGUAUUACUGUGACAGGUACUUUGGUUAAGUGUCACUCACAGAACAUGUGUGUUCAUAAGAGACAUGCACUGCGUCAGAGUCUGUCUGUGUUUGGUGUUUUUUUUAGAUCGUGGAGACUUGCAUCUCGCAGACUGCUAAAAGUGCACAGACCACAUCGAGGCUGGAUCUGCUGGCUUUGUCCAAAAAAAGAGAGGAUACGAUGUUCUAUGACAGAGGACGUCCAGAGCAGCCUAUUUGGCUGGUGUCGAAGGGUGCAAUGAAAGCCAAGGCCAGUCCUCGGAUCUCAGAGCUGUCAUUGCCCAAACUGCUUUCCACGGAC
ensembl:lncRNA